rnacentral:rRNA from 1 species
CAAUAGCGUAUAUUAAAGUUGUUGCGGUUAAAAAGCUCGUAGUUGGAUUUCUGCUGAGAACGACCGGUCCGCCCAUUGGGUGUGUAUCUGGCUCUUUCUUGGCAUCUUCUUGGUGAACGUUACUGCACUUGACUGUGUGGAGCGCUACCCAGGACUUUUACUUUGAGGAAAUUAGAGUGUUUCAAGCAGGCAUACGCCUUGAAUACGUUAGCAUGGAAUAAUAAGAUAGGACCUCGGUUCUAUUUUGUUGGUUUCUAGAGCUGAGGUAAUGAUUAAUAGGGAUAGUUGGGGGCAUUCGUAUUUAACUGUCAGAGGUGAAAUUCUUGGAUUUGUUGAAGACGAUCUACUGCGAAAGCAUUUGCCAGGGAUGUUUUCAUUGA